rnacentral:lncRNA from 1 species
UUCUUUAGUUGGUUGUGGUGUGUAUGCUUUGAGCACAUUCAAUUCCCUUUUUCUUUUGUAAUACGCAUUUUGUCGAACACCUUAUCUCCUAAUCUCAAAAAUUGGCUUCGAUGGCCACGACAAGUAGCGAACCAUCAAAUACUGGUGCUACAGGUGCGAUAGGUGUUAGCAAUGGAGUUUUUGUUGAAGGCGAUAUCAGUUCUCUCUUUUAUAUGCAUCCUUCUGAUAAUCCGGGUGCUGUGUUGGUAACUACACCCUUUGAUGGAGUAGGAUAUGGAUCGUUGAAGAGAGGUGUGCUGACAGCUCUUUCAGCUAAGAACAAAAUAGGCUUUGUCAAUGGUGAGUGCAGGAAUCCAGAUCCAGGGACAUCGCGAUAUCGUCAAUGGGAAAGGUGUGACAAUAUGGUCACAACAUGGAUUUUGGAUUCCUUGGUCAAGGAAAUCACGGAUAGCGUGGAGUAUGUAAGCAGUUCCUUUGAAUUGUGGAAGGAAUUGGAUAAUCGAUACGAUCAGACCAAUGGGGCAAAACUUUACCAAGUUCAGAGGGAGUUAAGUGAGUUAUCACAAGGUACAUUGGAUAUCACUGCCUACUACACAAAGAUGAAAAAGUUAUGGGAAGAGCUAAACUCUUUACAGACGAAUACUAAGUGUAGCUGUGAUUGCACUUGUGGUGCUAAGGAGCACCUUUAUAAAGCAGAACAAGACAGAAAAUUGGUUCAGUUUCUCAUGGGAUUAAACGAAGCCUAUACUGCAGUUAGGGGGAACAUCCUCAUGAUGAACCCACUGCCAACAUUGGCACAAACUUUUUCGCUGUUAGUGCGAGAGGAGAGACAAAGAGAGAUUAAGCCAAGUAAUCAGUCUUUUAUGGACUCCACCUCCCUUAGCGCAAGCAGUUCAACUAGAGUAAAAUUUGAAUCUGCCGAAUUCAGUGCAAGUGAAAGUGGUUAAAAGGGAGGAAACAACUCAAAAACUCCCAAAGCUGGGUACUCCUCAGGAAACACUGGUUACUCAUCUGGAGGUGGUAAUUUUAGAACAAAUUAUAGUCAACAUAUUGGUUACAGUGGAAAUAGGUCACAUACCAUAUGUGAUUAUUAUAAGAGGCCCGGUCAUACUAAAGAUAAAUGUUAUAAGUUGCAUGGGUAUCCACAGGGAAGUCAACAAGACACAUGUAAUAGUUUUCAUACUUUUCAAGGUAGCUAUCAGAACAACAAUCAGAACUAUAAGAACAACAAAGGAAAAGGUCUCAUGGUUGAUAUGCAUGGCCCCAUUUCUAACAUGGGAUCUGCAAGCAGGGUAGAACAUGGAAAUGAAGACAAUAUGAGCUUGACAAAAGAACAAUAUGGACAUAUUUUGAAUCUUCUGCAAUAAUUCCAGUCUGGAUCCCAUGUAGAAGGUGUUAACGGCAACAAUGUUGAUCAUGUGAAUGGCAAAGCUAGCCUUGCAGGUAUAAUAGUUUGCACCUCUUCUAUUGAUUUUGGUAAACUGAAUUGCAAGUGUUUCAAAAACAAGUGUGACUCUUGGAUUUUAGACUCGGGAGCCUCCAAUCACAUGACCUUUAAUAAAAACUCCAUGACCAAUAUCACCUCCCUUCCUUAUCCCCUACUAAUAGUCUUACCAAAUGGCUAUAAGGUAAAAGUAAGUCAAAUAGGUAGUGUGAUUCUUGCAUCAAACAUUGUUUUGCAUAAUGUACUAUUAGUGCCCUCAUUUAAGUAUAAUCUUGUGUCUGUCAAUUCCCUCAUUGCAUCUAUGCCCAAGAGUAUGGUUUCUUUCACUGAAACAUCAUGUGUUCUGUAGGCCCCUUCAAUGAAGAGGACUCUGGAGAUUGGUGAGGCCAAGGAUAGACUCUAAUUACUUUGUCCCAAAUAUUUGAAGAAGAACAACAACAAUUCAACUUCAAACUGUACAAUUCAAGAUGCUUUCCCAAACUCUAGAUUUCAAAAGUCUUUGGAUAAGUCUAGUUUUUCUAACACAUACAGUCAUAGAGCAUAUUGUCACGUCCAUUCUACUGUAAAUAGCAAUAUAGACACAAAUAAGUGUUCUUAUCAACCUAUUGUAAAAAAUCCUAGUUUAGUGAAUAAAAGUCAGUUGUCUUUUUCUGCUCCUCUUUGUCUCAUGUAUGUGAUGUGAAUUUGUUGUGGCAUAAUAGACUUGGGCAUAUUCCUUUUGUGAAAAUGAGAGGCAUCCAAUCAAUACCUGAAACUUUUUCCAGUAAACAACCCUUUAUUUGUAACAUUUGCCCUAUAGAAAGACAGGAAAGACUACCAUUUUCUCACAAAACCAAUACCACAAUCAAAAGGUUCCAACUACUUCACAUUGACCUGUGGGGACCUUACCAUGUAGCCACACAUGACAAUUAUAAGUAUUUUAGCACUCUUGUUGAUGAUUACAGUAGGUGUACGUGGACUCAGUUGUUAACUUGCAAAAACAAUGCCUUAGUAGCCAUUAAAGCUUUUAUCUCCAUGAUUGAGAACCAAUUCAACACCACUGUUAAGUUUAUAAGAACAGAUAAUGGAUUGGAGUUCAUUAAUACAGAAACAUCAUCUUAUUUAAAACACAAAGGAAUAGUUCAUGAGAAGACUUGUCCCUACACACCAGAACAAAAUGGUGUGGUAGAAAGAAAACACAAAUACCUAUUGGAAACUGCCAGGGUACUUCUUUUUCAGUCUAAAAUGCCACCAAAAUACUGGGGAGAAUUUGUAUUAUGUGCCACAUACAUCAUUAACAGACUUUCCACCUCUCAUGUUAGAACAAAAAGCCCAUAUGAAUUGUUGUACAAAACCAAACCAUCCUGCUCUCAUGUGAGAACCUUUGGAUGUCUUUGUUACCCUACUAUCCCUAAAUGCCAUAGAGACAAGUUUCAGGCCAUAACAACUCCCCAUGUUUUCUUAGGGUAUCCUUUUAGUUCCAAAGGGUACAAAGUACUGAGUCUGACUACAAGAAGGAUUCAUGUUUCUAGGGAUGUCGUUUUCAAAGAAAAUAUUUUUCCUUUCACUCUCUCUUCUGAUAUGUCUUCUUUCCCUUCUACAUUUCAUCCUGCACCUUUCAUGCAUUUUGAUGACACUACAAUUGGACAUCAAACAUUAGUGAAUGCUAACAACAAUGUAGAUGAUGCAAGUGAUACACCAGCUGAUAUCCUGACUGCCCAACCACCUAAUUUACAUACCUUAACUUUUAUUCUUGUAGACCAUUAUAAACCAGUUGUACCACCUAGUACUGCACCUCCUAUUAAACCAACUAGAACUCAUAAACUCCCUGUAUACCUUUAUGAUUAUAUUCUACUUAAUACCAUCAGAAAAGCACCACCAAGUGACACAACUACUAGCCUCAAUGCCCUGUUUUCAAACCACCAACAUGUCUUAACUGAUGUUUUGAAUCAUGAGAGUCAGGAACUUGUGAGAAACAUUAGUAAUGACAGUGAGCCUUUAUUUUUUGAGGAGGCUAUUGUGAACCCUGAUUGGCAAUUGGCCAUGAAUCAAGAAUUUGAGGCACUUCAUGCAAAUCACACUUGGGAUUUAGUUACCCUGCCUCAUGGUAAGAGGGAAAUAGGGUGUAGAUGGGUGUACAAAGUAAAACAUAAGGCUGAUGGAACUAUUGAGAGAUUCAAAUAAAGGUUGGUUGUUAAGGGAUACACUCAAAAAUCUGGGAUUGAUUACACUGAAACCUUUUCCCCUGUUGUUAAGAUGACAACUGUAAGGGCAUUACUAUCCAGCUCAGUUAAUAAAGGAUGGGAUAUAUUCCAACUUGAUGUCAACAAUGGAUUUCUUCAUGGUGACUUACAUAAAGAAGUGUACAUGGAGAUACCUCCAGGCCUUAUGGUGGACAGCCCAGGGUUAGCAUGCAAACUAAACAAGUCACUCUAUGGCCUAAAGCAGGCUAGUCGACAAUGGUAUGUCAAGCUGACUGAAGCACUUUAUUCCAUAGGAUACACUCACUCAAUGAAUGAUUACUCUCUUUUUCACAAGAAGACUGCAAGAUCAGCUAUUUUUGUAGCAGUUUAUGUAGAUGAUAUAACUGUGACUGGGACUCAUAAUUCUGAGAUUGAAGAACUCAAACAAUUUCUUCAUGAGAAGUUCAGGAUUAAAGAUUUGGGCAAACUCCACUACUUCCUUGGAAUGGAGGUUCUAUAUAAGCAGGAUGGUCUGAUUAUUUCCCAAAGGAAGUUCUUGUUAGAUUUACUGAAGAGUUAUCAUGUCUCAAGUAUGCCAGUUGUUCUUCUCCACUUGAUCCUACACAAAAAUUACUUGCCAAGGAAGGAACACCUUUGUCAGAUCCUACUUAUUACAGAAAGCUCAUAGGAAAGCUCAAUUUUCUUACUAACACUAGGAUGGACAUAGCCUAUGGUGUACAACAUUUGAGUCAGUUUAUGAAAGACCCUAGGAAACCUCAUUCGAAAGAUGCAUUUCAUUUACUAAGGUAUCUCAAGUCUGAUCCAACACUAGGGAUCUUUAUGUCACAUGAUCCAAAUUAUACUGUCAAAGCAUAUUGCGAUUCUGACUGGGCUGCAUGCCCAGUUUCCCGAAGAUCAGUUAAUGAUUACAUUGUUUUGCUGGGUAAUAGUCCAGUGAGUUGGAAAUCUACGAAGCAAGAAACUGUAUCCCUAUCCUCAGCAGAAGCAGAGUAAAAAACCUUGAGGAAAGUCGCAGGAGAACUGGUUUGGCUAAGUCGACUACUUGAGGAACUUUCAGUACCAUUACCAUCUCCUAUUGAGGUGUAUUGUGAUAGCCAAUCAGCUCUUCAUAUUGCAAAGAACCCUGUGUUCCAUGAGAGGACUGAAUAUAUUGAAGUGGACUGCUAUUUUGUAAGAAAUCUCCUACAAGCUGGAUUAAUUUCACUCCACCACAUCUCCUCAGAUUUUUAACUAGCAGAUGUACUUACCAAAGCACUCACAGGAAUCAAACACUUUGCUGCGUUACACAAGUUUUUCUGUGUUUUCUACUCCUCCAUCUUAAGGGGGGGGGGGGGGGGGGUAGAAGUUUAUUAAGAUUAACUACUAGAUUAGAUAAUUAAUUACACUGCUGCUGUAUGUAAUUAGUUAGUUAGUAUUAGUUAGUUAUUAGCUUAGUGUGACAGCUCACUGCCAUCUGUAAAGUUGGUUACUAAAUACUUUGUAAUCUUUCUCUAUAAGUACUCAUAUGCUCACAAUGGAAGUGAGUUGAGCAAUUUUCCAGAAACUGAUUUCUUCCUCCUUUCUUUCUUCUCUCCUUCUUUGCUCAUAUGAGUUAAGCUUUAAGGUUCAACCUCCAGUAUAUGGAAUGAAGGAUUCUCUCACUAUUAUUAACACCUAGAAAUCUGGUUGAGCCAUCCUUUGGAUUGUAUUUUGUGAAGCGUGUUAGAAACCAAAGAAAAAUUUCACCUUCGUUUGACUGUAAAAUGGAUGGAUGAUAUUUGUAUUUUAAAGAAUCAUCAGGAGACUUGAUGGUAAACGUCUUUGUCCAAGAUUCUCUUAUCCCAUACUCCUUCAUAACCCAGAUAUCAACAUGAGUCCAUGUGUUAUAACAAAAAACACUAAGAUCACCCUCAAACACUCCUAGUUUCAUAAAUAUACAUCCUUUUAAAUAGCAAAACUGCUAUACUUCUAUCCAUUUCUCAUUAGUCAAAUCAAUAGAAAUAAUGUUCCAUUGCUUGUCAAGCCAAUGAAGUUUCCCCUUGACAAACUUAGCAGAAUAACUGAAUAGCUCUCUAUAUUGAAGGUCACCAAUACGACUCCAAGAAUCACUCUUUAGACUAUACAUCUUGACCUCAACGUCACUCAGGUGUCCCUGUCCCACGACGUAAAUAGAGAUAAUAAUUAGUACCUUGUAAUCAUCUUGGAACUAAUCAUAUGCAAAACAAAAAUUGGAAUGAGCAAAACCAACCUCAUGGUUACGCCUAGACCUAUAACUAGGGAGUUUCUUAUACUUUCUAAUUGAAGGAUUCCAUAUAAACAAGUCAUAUAAUCCGUGAAAUACUACAACGGAAAGUCAAAUCAAUCCAUUGAUAUAACCCACAAGCCGAGGAUGAGCACCGAAAAUUUUACGAUGAUAAUCCAAGUCAAGUGCCUCAGUUACAGAAUCGCAAAGUAAAGAGCUAACAGAACAUCCCCUGACAUCAGGGUUAGAAUAAUAAGCCUCACACAGAACUCUGUGGUGAGUGUAGUCCUUAUUAGUAGAAGAUAAUAAGAGAUGAGCCUUCACAAAUUGAGGGCUAGAGAUUAACGAAAGCCAAGAUUUGCAAACAAACCUGAAUUGCAAGAGGGAUUUCACAGGAAGCUUUAGAAGGUUUCAGUGAUGAGUUCUUCGGGAAGGAUAGGCAUAACGAAGACUGAAUCAUUAACAAGAUUUAUGGGUUUGUUCCAUUUUUGGUGUUGAAAAUGGGCUUGUCUCUUUCCAGGACAACUGGUUCGUAAUUGAAGCUCAGAGUUUGGGGGAAAUAGGGAUUUUAGUAUUUAUAGUCCCU